AUGAGAUAUGAUGAUGAUUUUAUCCAUAAACAUUUUCUGAAUUCCAUUGAUGAAUUCUUUACAUCAUGCACUACCAUCUGAUCUCUC